rnacentral:misc_RNA from 1 species
GAUGAAGAACGCAACGAAAUGCGAUAAGUAGUGUGAAUUGCAGAAUUCAGUGAAUCAUCGAAUCUUUGAACGCACAUUGCGCCCCUUGGUAUUCCAUGGGGCAUGCCUGUUCGAGCGUCAUUUGUACCUUCAAGCUUUGCUUGGUGUUGGGUGUUUGUCUCGCCUUUGCGUGUAGACUCGCCUUAAAAUAAUUGGCAGCCGGCGUAUUGAUUUCGGAGCGCAGUACAUCUCGCGCUUUGCACUCAUAACGACAGCGUCCAAAAGUACAUUUUACACUCUUGACCUCGGAUCAGGUAGGGAUACCCGCUGAACUUAAGCAUAUCAAUAAGCGGAGA